rnacentral:rRNA from 1 species
AUUGAACGCUGGCGGAAUGCUUUACACAUGCAAGUCGAACGGCAGCACGGACUUCGGUCUGGUGGCGAGUGGCGAACGGGGGAGUAAUGUAUCGGAACGUGCCCAGUCGUGGGGGAUAACGUAGGGAAAAUUACGCUAAUACCGCAUACGAUCUAUGGAUGAAAGCGGGGGAUCGCAAGACCUCGCGAGAAUGGAGAGGCUGAUAUCAGAUUAGGUAGUUGGUGGGGUAAAGGCCCACCAAGCCAACGAUCUGUAGCUGGUCUGAGAGGACGACCAGCCACACUGGAACUGAGACACGGUCCAGACUCCUACGGGAGGCAGCAGUGGGGAACUUUGGACAAUGGGCGAAAGCCUGAUCCAGCCAUUCCGCGUGCAGGAUGAAGGCCCUCGGGUUGUAAACUGCUUUUGUACAGAACGAAAAGGUUUCUACUAAUACUAGGAGCUCAUGACGGUACUGUAAGAAUAAGCACCGGCUAACUACGUGCCAGCAGCCGCCGUAA